UACCAGCACCCCGAGUGGUCGGGACGAUUAUUGGGCCUAAAGCAUCCGUAGCCGGCCUUACAAGUCCUCCGUUAAAUCCAGCUGCUUAACAGAUGGGCUGCGGAGGAUGCUAUAAGACUAGGAGGCAGGAGAGGCAAGCGGUACUCAGUGGGUAGGGGUAAAAUCCGUUGAUCCAUUGAAGACCACCAGUGGCGAAGGCGGCUUGCCAGAAUGCGCUCGACGGUGAGGGAUGAAAGCUGGGGGAGCAAACCGG
rnacentral:rRNA from 1 species